CUUCUCUGAACCCUCUCUAAGGUAUCAAUAUCCUUCUGGAGAGACAGUCUCCAGUACUGUGUACAAUACUCCAAGUGAGGUCUCACCAGUGUUCUGUACAAUGGCAUGAGCACUUCCCUCUUUCUACUGCUAAUACCUCUCCCUAUACAACCAAGCAUUCUGCUAGCAUUUCCUGCUGCUCUAUUACAUUGUCUGCCUACCUUUAAGUCCUCAGAAAUAAUCACCCCUAAAUCC